rnacentral:lncRNA from 1 species
CCCAGCUUCCACCACAUAGAUGCUCACCUCUCCUGCCCCGUGAUGCCUUACACUCUCUGCCCUCAGGUUCUUACUGUCCUUAGGGGUGGAAAAUCUCUAAAAUCAGUGGAUUUCCUGGUAAAUGGGGGAGAAAAUAAUUCAGGAAGCCUCUCCUUGCAAGGAGGGACCAUUGUUAGGAACUUUUGGUCUGAGAUGCUAUGGCUGAGUCCAGGGGGGCAACAAAGAACAGACCAGUUCCAAACUCGAUCAGCUAGCAAAAAAAAAAAAAAAGAAAAAAAAGAAAGGGACUAAAGGGGGUGUAGAGACUCUGGUGGAGGCAGGGCAGAGCCAAAAUCAGGGAGAGGAUCCUCCCCUGUCAGUGGGAGGUAGUGAUUGCUGGAGUCAGGGCCACAGCAAGGUCAGGGAUGGAGGAAUGGAGAAUUCAUGCAGGAGAAGCUUGGCUGGAGCUGCAGUGAAUCAGAGGGUGCAUCACCAGCAGGGCUCUGGCUAGCUGCACUGUUGUCUUUUUCUGCUUUAUCUGAGUUGUUUCAUUACCAGGACCCAGAAUUUCUACUGCUAUAGCCAUAGAGGGCUGACUGCUCAGGAAGCAGGGUGGCAGUGGAGGCAUGUCAUCCAGAGAAGUGCACAUCCUUGCACCAGGACACAUGAACAACAAUGUUCACAGUGGCAUUGCUCAUAAUAGCUCCAAAUGAGAAACUAACCAAACGACAUCAACGUCAGAAUGGAUCAAGAAAUGGUGGUAUAUUUAUAAGUAAACUGCAGCUGUUUAUACAGUG